rnacentral:tRNA from 1 species
AGGCUAGGUAGCAAAGAUGGGUAUGCAGAAGAUUGCAAAUCUUUUAUAGAUCGGUUCGAGUCCGAUCCUAGCCUU